GUAACACGGGCAGCUCGAGUGGUGUCCGCCUAUAUUGGGUCUAAAGCGUUCGUAGCCGGCCUUACAAGUCUUGGUGAAAGCUCAUAGCUUAACUAUGAGAGUUGCUAAGNAAAACUGUAAGGCUAGGGGCCGGGAGAGGUCAGAGGUACUCCUGGGGUAUGAGUGAAAUCCAAUAAUCCUAGGAGGACCGACGGUGGCGAAAGCUUCUGACUAGAACGGACCCGACGGUGAGGAACAAAGGCUGAGGGAGCAACCCGGAUUAGAUACCCGGUUAGUCUCAGCUGUAAAUGAUGUUGAUUAGGUGGUGCGUGACCCAUGUGGUUACGCACGGCCGCAGGGAAGCCGUUAAACCAACCACCUGGGAAGUACGGUCGCAAGGCUGAAACUUAAAGGAAUUGGCGGGGGAGUACUACAAGGGGUGGAGGCUGCGGUUUAAUCAGAUACAACGCUGGACAACUCACCAGGGAAGACGGCCGAAUGAUGGUCAGUCUGAAGGGCUUACCUAACCAGCCAAGAGGUAGUGCAUGGUCAUCGUCAGCUCGUGCCGCGAGGUGUCCCGUUAAGUCAGGCAACGAGCGAGAUCCACACCCUCAGUUGCUAGUUCUCUUGUUUGAGAGAACGCACUCUAAGGGGACUGCCAGUGAUAAGCUGGAGGAAGGAGUGGGCGACGAUAGAUCCGUAUGCUCCGAAUUUCCUGGGCUACACGCGGCCUACAUUGCGACGGACAGAGGGAUGCUACCCCGAAAGGGGACGCUAAACCCUAAACCGUUGCCCGGUUCGGAUUGAGGACUGGAAUUCGUCCUCAUGAAGCUGAAAUCCCUAGUAAUCGCGUGUCACUACACGCGG
rnacentral:rRNA from 1 species